rnacentral:lncRNA from 10 species
GAGUCCCCAGCCACAACCAGCUACUGAGCAUUUGAAAUAUGGCUAAUCCAAAUUCAGAUGUACUCUAAGUGCAAAAUACACACCAGAUUACUAAAGUGCAAAAGAAAUAAUUAUAAAAUAGCUCAAUAAUUUAUUAAAUGGAUUACAGGCUAAACUGAUAGCAUUUGGGAUAUUUGGGUUAAGAAAAAUACAUUCUUAAAAUUAAUUCUACUUGUUUCUUUUUUUACUUUUUUUUUUUAAAAAUUAUACUACUAGAAAGUUUUCAAUGGCAUGUGUGGCUUAUAUUACAUUUCUUUUUUUUUAUUUAUUUAUUUUUUUAAUUGAGACAGAGUUUCACUCUUGUCACCCAGGCUGGAGUGCAGUGGUGCGAUCCUGGCUCACCACAACCUCUGCUUCCCGACUUCAAGUGAUUCUCCUGCCUCAGCCUCCCCAGUAGCUGGGAUUACAGGGAUAAGCCACCACGCCUGGCUAAUUUUUGUAUUUUUAGUACAGAUGGGGUUCCAAUUCCUGCUAGUUUUAAGCCAAAAGGUGCAUGAGGUUGAGCUCUCUCACCCUGAAAUUUGAGAGAAACUUGCUACCUCCAAACUCAAUUGGGUGCUGUAGGUGACUAAAGACUUUAUGAAGAUACAGAACAUCUGUUCAAGAUGUAUCAUAGUAUCAUAGGUCCUGUCUGCAAGAAUACCUGUGAUGACUUUCAGCUCAGCCAGAAGGUACGUGCGAGGGCUGGUUGCCUGGCGUCUUGAACACUCUGCCACCAUAAGGUGAUCAGAGAUUACAAGACACA